rnacentral:rRNA from 1 species
UACGUAGGGAGCAAGCGUUGUCCGGAAUCAUUGGGCGUAAAGCGCGCGUAGGUGGCCCCAUAAGUCCGCUGUGAAAGUCAAAGGCUCAACCUUUGAAAGCCGGUGGAUACUGUGGGACUAGAGUACGGAAGAGGCGAGUGGAAUUCCUGGUGUAGCGGUGGAAUGCGCAGAUAUCAGGAGGAACACCAAUAGCGAAGGCAGCUCGCUGGGACGUUACUGACGCUGAGACGCGAAAGCGUGGGGAGCAAACAGG